AAUGAUAUUGACAGUCCCAAAGAAGAUCUUUGAAACUCUCCCAUGCAUGAUAUAAGUUCUCAUCUAUCUUCUGUUUAAAGAAGACAAUCUCUCUGCACAGU
rnacentral:snoRNA from 1 species